rnacentral:rRNA from 1 species
CCUACGGGUGGCAGCAGUGGGGAAUCUUGCGCAAUGGGCGAAAGCCUGACGCAGCGACGCCGCGUGGGGGAUGAAGCAUCUCGGUGUGUAAACCCCUUUCGACCCGGAAGCGGUACGGGUAUAAGAAGCCCCGGCUAACUACGUGCCAGCAGCCGCGGUAAGACGUAGGGGGCCAGCGUUGCUCGGAAUUACUGGGCGUAAAGGGUUCGUAGGCGGUGCGGCAAGUCGGAAGUGAAAUCUCCAGGCUCAACUUGGAGGCUGCUCCCGAAACUGCCGCGCUAGAGUGCGGGAGAGGCCAGUGGAAUUGCAGGUGUAGCGGUGAAAUGCGUAGAUAUCUGCAGGAACACCCGUGGCGAAGGCGGCUGGCUGGACCGCACUGACGCUGAGGAACGAAAGCUAGGGGAGCAAACAGGAUUAGAUACCCUUGUAGUC